rnacentral:rRNA from 1 species
GCUAAACGCGAAGAACCUUACCAAGGCUUGACAUACACCAGAACACCCUAGAAUAGGGGACUCUUUGGACACUGGUGAACAGGUGGUGCAUGGUUGUCGUCAGCUCGUGUCGUGAGAUGUUGGGUUAAGUCCCGCAACGAGCGCAACCCUCGUUCUAUGUUGCCAGCACGUAAUGGUGGGAACUCAUGGGAUACUGCCGGGGUCAACUCGGAGGAAGGUGGGGAUGACGUUAAAUCAUCAUGCCCCUUAUGUCUUGGGCUUCACGCAUGCUACAAUGGCCGGUACAAAGGGCUGCAAUACCGUGAGGUGGAGCGAAUCCCAAAAAGCCGGUCCCAGUUCGGAUUGAGGUCUGCAACUCGACCUCAUGAAGUCGGAGUCGCUAGUAAUCGCAGAUCAGCAACGCUGCGGUGAAUACGUUCCCGGGUCUUGUACACACCG